UUCAAUCUGGAAACAUCAAUGCUGCC
rnacentral:piRNA from 2 species